rnacentral:lncRNA from 1 species
CUACUAAUUUAGAUGGAUCAAUUCUAUCUUGACUUACACACCGACUUUAAUAAAUACUUGACUGCACCCAGUAUCCUUCUGUUACUAAAUUAGAAACUCAGAUAGUCUGAUACUAAAGUACAGUGAGUUGCUUUUAAGUCACCGUAGUGAUCUCAAAUCUGAGAGACACUUAUACCCAUAUCCUUCACGAGCUACUCUUGACAGCAGAGUGCUCGAUAAAUAGUCACGUUCGAUAUGAAUGUACUCCU